rnacentral:rRNA from 1 species
UACAGAGGUCUCAAGCGUUGUUCGGAUUCAUUGGGCGUAAAGGGUGCGUAGGCGGCGCGGUAAGUCGGGUGUGAAAUCUCGGAGCUUAACUCCGAAACUGCAUUCGAUACUGCCGUGCUUGAGGACUGGAGAGGAGACUGGAAUUUACGGUGUAGCGGUGAAAUGCGUAGAUAUCGUAAGGAAGACCAGUGGCGAAAGGCGGGUCUCUGGACAGUUCCUGACGCUGAGGCACGAAGGUCAGGGGAGCAAAACGGG